rnacentral:snoRNA from 1 species
GCUGCCUGGAGACACUGCAGAUGUGGCUGCCAUGUUACAUGUGUGGCAGGGAGGAGGAAGCUGUGUCUGGGCUCAUGCUCUGACCUAUGACCAUUUGAACGAUUAGCAGCCGAACGUU